rnacentral:rRNA from 1 species
GACGAACGCUGGCGGCGUGCUUAACACAUGCAAGUCGAACGGUAAGGCCCUUCGGGGUACACGAGUGGCGAACGGGUGAGUAACACGUGGGUGAUCUGCCCUGCACUUCGGGAUAAGCCUGGGAAACUGGGUCUAAUACCGGAUAGGACCACUGCCUGCAUGGGUGGUGGUGGAAAGCUUUUGCGGUGUGGGAUGGGCCCGCGGCCUAUCAGCUUGUUGGUGGGGUGAUGGCCUACCAAGGCGACGACGGGUAGCCGGCCUGAGAGGGUGACCGGCCACACUGGGACUGAGAUACGGCCCAGGCGCCUACGGGGGGAAGCAGUGGGGAAUAUGGCACAAUGGGCGCAAGCCUGAUGCAGCGACGCCGCGUGAGGGAUGACGGCCUUCGGGUUGUAAACCUCUUUCAGCACCGACGAAGCGCAAGUGACGGUAGGUGCAGAAGAAGGACCGGCCAACUACGUGCCAGCCGCCGCCGUAA